rnacentral:rRNA from 1 species
GACGAACGCUGGCGGCGUGCUUAACACAUGACAAGUCGAGCGGUAAGGCCCUUUCGGGGGUACACGAGCGGCGAACGGGUGAGUAACACGUGGGUGACCUGCCCUUAGCUCUGGGAUAAGCCUGGGAAACUGGGUCUAAUACCGGAUAUGACUCCAUGACGCAUGUUGUGGGGUGGAAAGCCUUGUGCGGCUAGGGAUGGGCCCGCGGCCUAUCAGCUUGUUGGUGGGGUGAUGGCCUACCAAGGCGACGACGGGUAGCCGGCCUGAGAGGGCGACCGGCCACACUGGGACUGAGACACGGCCCAGACUCCUACGGGAGGCAGCAGUGGGGAAUCUUGCGCAAUGGGCGAAAGCCUGACGCAGCGACGCCGCGUGAGGGAUGACGGCCUCGG